rnacentral:rRNA from 2 species
GAUGAACGCUGGCGGCGUGCCUAAUACAUGCAAGUCGAGCGAACGGACGAGAAGCUUGCUUCUCUGAUGUUAGCGGCGGACGGGUGAGUAACACGUGGAUAACCUAGCUAUAAGACUGGGAUAACUUCGGGAAACCGGAGCUAAUACCGGAUAAUAUUUUGAACCGCAUGGUUCAAAAGUGAAAGACGGUCUUGCUGUCACUUAUAGAUGGAUCCGCGCUGCAUUAGCUAGUUGGUAAGGUAACGGCUUACCAAGGCAACGAUGCAUAGCCGACCUGAGAGGGUGAUCGGCCACACUGGAACUGAGACACGGUCCAGACUCCUACGGGAGGCAGCAGUAGGGAAUCUUCCGCAAUGGGCGAAAGCCUGACGGAGCAACGCCGCGUGUGUGAUGAAGGUCUUCGGAUCGUAAAACUCUGUUAUUAGGGAAGAACAUAUGUGUAAGUAACUGUGCACAUCUUGACGGUACCUAAUCAGAAAGCCACGGCUAACUACGUGCCAGCAGCCGCGGUAAUACGUAGGUGGCAAGCGUUAUCCGGAAUUAUUGGGCGUAAAGCGCGCGUAGGCGGUUUUUUAAGUCUGAUGUGAAAGCACACGGCUCAACCGUGGAGGGUCAUUGGAAACUGGAAAACUUGAGUGCAGAAGAGGAAAGUGGAAUUCCAUGUGUAGCCGUGAAAUGCGCAGAGAUAUGGAGGAACACCAGUGGCGAAGGCGACUUUCUGGUCUGUAACUGACGCUGAUGUGCGAAAGCGUGGGGAUCAAACAGGAUUAGAUACCCUGGUAGUCCACGCCGUAAACGAUGAGUGCUAAGUGUUAGGGGGUUUCCGCCCCUUAGUGCUGCAGCUAACGCAUUAAGCACUCCGCCUGGGGAGUACGACCGCAAGGUUGAAACUCAAAGGAAUUGACGGGGACCCGCACAAGCGGUGGAGCAUGUGGUUUAAUUCGAAGCAACGCGAAGAACCUUACCAAAUCUUGACAUCCUUUGACAACUCUAGAGAUAGAGCCUUCCCCUUCGGGGGACAAAGUGACAGGUGGUGCAUGGUUGUCGUCAGCUCGUGUCGUGAGAUGUUGGGUUAAGUCCCGCAACGAGCGCAACCCUUAAGCUUAGUUGCCAUCAUUAAGUUGGGCACUCUAAGUUGACUGCCGGUGACAAACCGGAGGAAGGUGGGGAUGACGUCAAAUCAUCAUGCCCCUUAUGAUUUGGGC